GUGCUUGCUUCGGGGGCACAUACACUAAAAUUAGAAUGAUACAGAGAAGGUUAGCGUGACCCCGCACAAGGAUGACAUGCAACUUCGUGAAGCGUUUCAUAUUUUU
rnacentral:snRNA from 1 species